rnacentral:rRNA from 1 species
CUACGGGUGGCUCCAGUGGGGAAUUUUGCGCAAUGGGGGAAACCCUGACGCAGCAACGCCGCGUGAAGGAUGAAGGCCUUUGGGUCGUAAACUUCUGUCAGUGGGGAAGAAAUGCCCGCAAGGGAGCUGACGGUACCCACAAAGGAAGCACCGGCUAACUCCGUGCCAGCAGCCGCGGUAAUACGGAGGGUGCAAGCGUUGUGUCGGAAUUAUUGGGCGUAAAGCGCAUGUAGGCGGUCUGUUAAGUCUGGUGCGAAAGCCCGGGGCUCAACCCCGGAAGUGCAUUGGAUACUGGCAGACUUGAGUAUGGGAGAGGAAAGUGGAAUUCCGAGUGUAGGAGUGAAAUCCGUAGAUAUUCGGAGGAACACCAGUGGCGAAGGCGGCUUUCUGGACCAAUACUGACGCUGAGAUGCGAAAGCGUGGGUAGCAAACAGGAUUAGAUACCCGGGUAGUC